AUGGAUGGAAAACAUUGGUACACGCACAUUGACUUUCAUCGGGUAAAGCUUGAACAAUUCACUAAUGCCUUGAUUCAGAUUCUUUUAACCAUGCCCAAGGUGGUCUCAAUGGGUAAAUCUAGCAGGAGGCCCUUAUGGUAAGUCUCUUUGACUUUCAAUAGUCAAAUGGAAGUAAAGGUCCUGGAUUUACAGAGUACAUGUCCCACCUUAAAUUUUUUUAUUAGUGGUGAAUAGGCUGGUAGGCUAAAGGCAAGAUGUGUUGAUUGAUAGUUCAUCAAUUAAAUUUGAGAAGGUAAAUCAAAGAAUAAAUAAGAUUCAUCUAUUGUAGUAUUUGUUAGUUAUGGAAGUUAACGACUAACAUACUACAACAUUUGUCUUUUUCAUACAAGUUUUAUAUUCGUCUUUUUAGCUAUCUAGGGUGAAACUAUCAAAUUUAGAUAUCAGGUAGGGUUACUCUCACUAGCUUUUAACUACCAAUAUAUUAAAGGUGUGGUAAAAUCGAUAUAGAGGAGCCAAGACAAUGAAGUAUAAUCACACCAGACACUCGACAACAACUCAUGUCACUGGUCCUUUCUUCAUUGGUGUUUUGGAGGUUCUUGAACUUUUUUAUCCGCAUUCAUAUUGGUUAAUUUUUUAGCUGGAAACAAACUGCAGGCUACCUGCCGAUUUGAACUGUUUUGAUUGUCAUUUAAUAUUGAAUUGUUAUUGUUUCAUGUUCAAAAAGGGGCUGCCAUGUUUUACUAAAUUGGCAGUUUAGCUGAAGUUGCGUAUUGAUCCUUUUCUUAAUAACAACUACUAAUCUAAGUUUUAUUUUUUUACUCUAGAAACAGACUGCAAGCUACCUACCUAUUUGAACUGUUUUAACCAUCAUUUAAUAGCGAAUUAUGUGGAUUUCAGGUUCAAAAAGGGGUUGCUGGUUCACAAGUACCAUCCUGUACAACAGAGGAAAAAGUGCUUGAUUCUAGGUCUCAUGUCGAACCACAAGUGUUUAGAGGUCAUGUAAGACUUGAUACUGACUCAUAUACGUUGUCAACCAUGUGAGUACCCUUCUUAAAAUGAUUCCGGGUUAAGACGGCUCCGUGCAAAAGGAGUUCAGUUCAAUUAAAUUAUUAUUAGUUAAGUUCGGGUAAAUAUGGGUUUGGAGCAAAAUAAGUUCGGGUCAAACGGGUGGUUUUGUUGAAAAAACAAACUUUAAAGUUUUGAAACUUCUUUUGAGCACCUAUGUUUAUGUAUUACAUAUGAUGAUUAUUUUGUCGAAAAAAUGGGUUCUGAGAAACAGCUUGAUUAACUUUUUAUCGAAGAAAUGGGGUUUGAUGAGGAAACUUUGGUCAAUUUCAACAUCAGAAAGGAAACUGCAUCAAGUCAGAGUUCUAACGGGUUUUGAAACAAGUAUAUUAUGGUGACAAACAUACGGGUCCCGAGAUAGUGGAAGCAAUGGUUUUGAUACACGAGAGAAUAAUUUUAAGGAACUUUACUUGAUGCAUCGGCGCUGAAAUCUAGCGAUGGUAGUAUCGCCAAGGAGUUUGAUCACGUUUAGUGAAGGAUUUCUUGGAGAAUGAGUCAACUGGGCAGAUACGAGUAUACAACCCAAGAAAUAUAGAGAGAAGGAGAUGCGAGAGUGGCCAGUAACAGGGGUUAAAGCGAUGUCGGAUCAAUCAUCUAGGGUUCUGACCGAGGAGUUCAACCGCUGACGAUUUUCACCCAUCGAAGGUUGGAUCAAAAACUCAUCAGCGUUGAAACUCACUAACAAUGGUCUGAGUAUCCGAGUGCUGUUUUGAGCAACUAUUUUAAGGAAUUAUGCUCGCUGGACGCUCUUAAUGGUCUUAAAAUAAAUUGUCGGGGACACGUGGCAAGCUAUGGUUCAACCGCACCACCAACGCAACACAAUCUUAUAGGUGGUUUACUUUUU
rnacentral:lncRNA from 1 species